rnacentral:rRNA from 1 species
GGUAGCACAGAGAGCUUGCUCUCGGGUGACGAGCGGCGGACGGGUGAGUAAUGUCUGGGAAACUGCCUGAUGGAGGGGGAUAACUACUGGAAACGGUAGCUAAUACCGCAUAACGUCGCAAGACCAAAGUGGGGGACCUUCGGGCCUCAUGCCAUCAGAUGUGCCCAGAUGGGAUUAGCUAGUAGGUGGGGUAACGGCUCACCUAGGCGACGAUCCCUAGCUGGUCUGAGAGGAUGACCAGCCACACUGGAACUGAGACACGGUCCAGACUCCUACGGGAGGCAGCAGUGGGGAAUAUUGCACAAUGGGCGCAAGCCUGAUGCAGCCAUGCCGCGUGUGUGAAGAAGGCCUUCGGGUUGUAAAGCACUUUCAGCGGGGAGGAAGGCGGUGAGGUUAAUAACCUCAUCGAUUGACGUUACCCGCAGAAGAAGCACCGGCUAACUCCGUGCCAGCAGCCGCGGUAAUACGGAGGGUGCAAGCGUUAAUCGGAAUUACUGGGCGUAAAGCGCACGCAGGCGGUCUGUCAAGUCGGAUGUGAAAUCCCCGGGCUCAACCUGGGAACUGCAUUCGAAACUGGCAGGCUAGAGUCUUGUAGAGGGGGGGUAGAAUUCCAGGUGUAGCGGUGAAAUGCGUAGAGAUCUGGAGGAAUACCGGUGGCGAAGGCGGCCCCCUGGACAAAGACUGACGCUCAGGUGCGAAAGCGUGGGGAGCAAACAGGAUUAGAUACCCUGGUAGUCCACGCUGUAAACGAUGUCGAUUUGGGAGGUUGUGCCCUUGAGGCGUGGCUUCCGGAGCUAACGCGUUAAAUCGACCGCCUGGGGGAGUACGGCCGCAAGGUUAAAACUCAAAUGAAUUGACGGGGGCCCGCACAAGCGGUGGAGCAUGUGGUUUAAUUCGAUGCAACGCGAAGAACCUUACCUGGUCUUGACAUCCACAGAACUUUCAAAAAAUGGAUUGGUGCCUUCGGGAACUGUGAGACAGGUGCUGCAUGGCUGUCGUCAGCUC